rnacentral:lncRNA from 1 species
GGUAAACUUCAAAUAUCACCCCUGUAGUUUUACACUAUCUCACUUUAGUACCCUUUAGUUUUAAAGUAUAUUAAUUAGUAUCUUGUAGUUUUAUUUUUUUUUCUUUUCACAUGCCCCUUCGUUAACUUUUUGUUAUACUAUAUACAAAAAAUUUCAGAUACUCCAUCUAUAGUUUAUCGAAUAUUUACUUUAGUACCCGUUGGUUUUAACUUUUUUAUUGAUUUAAUGAAAAAAAUUACUAGCAGCGGAUAAUAAAAAAAGAAAAAUAAAAUCACAAGGUACAAAAGUGAUACACUUUAAAUUAUAGAGUACAAAAGUCAGAAAGUACAAAACUACAGGGACAGUAUUUGAAUUUUUUCUAAACAAUUGAAAAUGCAGCAACCCCCCUCCACUAGACAAUUUUCAAAUUGGUCCCCCAGCUAAAGGAUUUUAGUUUUUUAAAGCAACGCUAUCUAUUAGGAUUUAGAACUAGCAAUCGAACUCACUGUUCGCAAGCCAACUCAAAUUCCGCUCAAAAUUAGCUUGAAUUCCGCUCAAUUAUUUCAUAAAUGAUUCAAAUACGAGCUGAAGUUUUUAACUUGAAAUCUUAACGAGCUGAACGUGAGUUUGAAUUAACUUGUUCAUAUUUGGCUCGAUAUAGUUACAAAUUUAUACUAUUUGAAUUGUUAGACCAAUCCAAAAUUAAAGAUAUUUGUAUUUUGUGAAUUUUAAUUAUUAGAUUAAGAUUUUAUUUUUCUAAAAAAAAAUCAGCAAUUAAGGUUAAGAAUUGGGGGAGGAGAAAGUUUAGGGGUAGAAGCGACAAAUGAGCCGCUAGUGGGUGGUGUCCAUUGGAAAAAUUGGGUGACAUGGAUUUUGAACAAAACAUAAGGAUGCAAAUGGAGGAAGAGAGAGAGAGAAGAGAAAGGCAGUAGAGGGAACAGAAAUUAAAAAAAAAAAAAAAAGUUGGGUGAAGAUAACAAAUAUUUUUUUGAAUAAAAUAAUUAAAAAAAUUUUAGCUGCCUGAUAUGAAAGUUGUAAGAUGUACACUCCAGAUUAAAAUGUACAGCUAGCACUCCUCUUGUCGGAAAGAUUGGGGACGUGAUUUCUCGACUUCUCAAGUAAUCUAUUGUAUCAAGUUGAAACUAACUACUAUUUUUUAUAUUUCUGUCAAUUUUUUCUUGUAUCUAUUAAAUUGAUCUAUAUAUUAAAAUCAGAAAAAGUUAUACUUAAAAUAUUUUACUAGUUAAGUGACCUUUAUAUGCUAAUGGAUACGACAAGAAAAAAAUUUAGAUAAAAAUAUGCAGAAUUUACUUGAACUAUAUACUAUUUUGAGUCAGCUAUCUAACUUUUCAAAAUUUUGAUUUUGCUAUCUAAUUUUUUAAUUUGUUUAAUUAAGUCGACCAACGGUACUUUGCCUGUAAAAUUUAAAUAAAAUACUUAUUUUAAUAAAUUUAAAAUUGAGAGAAUUGCAUGUAAUAUACUAACUGAAUCUGUAAAGAUAAAUAAUAUAUUUAUAUUUUAAAAUCAAAGUAUUGUUGAUUAAUUCAAAUCAAAUAAAGUGAAAGAUUGGUUCGGUAGAAUCAAAAUUUUGGAAGGUUAGAUAGUCCAAGGUGCAAAGUUUGGGGG